rnacentral:rRNA from 1 species
CCUACGGGCGGCAGCAGUGGGGAAUAUUGCACACUGGGGGAAACCCUGAUGCAGCGACGCCGCGUGAGUGAAGAAGUAUCUCGGUACGUAAAGCUCUAUCAGCAGGGAAGAAAAUGACGGUACCUGACUAAGAAGCCCCGGCUACCUACGUGCCAGCAGCCGCGGUAAUACGUAGGGGGCAAGCGUUAUCCGGAUUUAAUGGGGGUAAAGGGAGCGUAGACGGCAGAACAAGUCUGGAGUGAAAUCCCGGGGCUUAACCCCGGAACUGCUUUGGAAACUGUGCGGCUGGAGUGCAGGAGAGGUAAGCGGAAUUCCUGGUGUAGCGGUGAAAUGCGUAGAUAUUAGGAGGAACACCGGUGGCGAAGGCGGCUUACUGGACUGUAACUGACGUUGAGGCUCGAAAGCGUGGGGAGCAAACAGGAUUAGAUACCCUUGUAGUC